rnacentral:rRNA from 1 species
AGUGAACGCUGGCGGCGUGCUUAACACAUGCAAGUCGAACGAGAACGGGUAUUAGCUUGCUAAUACUGUCAGCUAAGUGGCGCACGGGUGAGUAAUAUAUAGUUAAUCUGCCCUAGAGAAGGGGAUAACGUUUGGAAACGAACGCUAAUACCCUAUAUGCCUUUAAAACAUAAGUUUGCAAGGGAAAUAUUUAUAGCUCUAGGAUGAGACUGUACGGUAUCAGCUAGUUGGUGAGGUAAUGGCUCACCAAGGCAAUGACACCUAACUGGUUUGAGAGGAUGAUCAGUCACACUGGAACUGAGACACGGUCCAG